AAACCUUUUGCAAUAGCAGUCAGCGUCAGAAAAACUUUAAUAGUUACAACUUUCAACAACGGAUCUCUUGGUUCUGGCAUCGAUGAAGAACGCAGCGAAAUGCGAUAAGUAGUGUGAAUUGCAGAAUUCAGUGAAUCAUCGAAUCUUUGAACGCACAUUGCG
rnacentral:rRNA from 1 species